rnacentral:lncRNA from 10 species
UCCUGAAUACUUACAGUGUGCCAAGCACCAAGAAGCAUGUCACAUGGAGUCUGUCCCUGAGUUUCUCCCAGCCUUGAUCUGAGUGACACAUGUCUGUAAGGACACUGAAGCCACUAGGACAGAUAGGGGUUGCCUAGGGUCAAAUCUGUGCCCACAUGUGGAUGAGCCACAGAUCGGUGGGCACAGUAAUCUUCCACGACACGUCAACCCCGCCUUUGGAUUCUCAACACAAAGACAAUGGUCCAGUAACCUCAGGAAGCGAUGCUUAAUCCACAGGAAUAACACUGACAGCGGGGUUUAUAUAUCCUAAGGAGACUGGCUGAGCCUUCUCAGAAGAAACUGACCUAAGAGAAACAACCAGCAGAUGCUGACCUGUGGUGAGUUCCCAGCAAGACGACCUGGCCCCUGUCAAUCACCCUUCAGCGAAGCCUACCAAAGACAGACUUCCCCCACACACAGAGCCUCCAAUCAACCUCGAAGAGCUUCAGUCUUAAUGUGAACACAUUAGGGGAAAGUCUCUGCCAUGAAAUAUAGAGACCAAAGCAAAUAAACCAGGGAAAAAGGGAAACUCAGAGGGUGUGGCAGGUUGCAUUUUCCAAAAACAGCCACAAUACUCCUGCUUCUUUUCUUUAAAAUAUUGUCCCUUCUCCCAUUAAAAGCUGGAGUUUACCCUCUUUGCCCUUGAAUCUAGGUGGGACUUCAACCAACAGAGUCACACCACCCAAUAUGGUUGCCAGUGGCCAUUAGGCACCUGUGUGGCUGUUGAAUAAGUGAAAAGUUGCUAUUACAGCUGAAGACCUGAAAGAAUCAUUUUAUUCAAUUCUAAAUAAUUUAAAUUUAAAAACUGAAGCAAUGUAAAGUGUUUUUCUUCUAGCUUAUGUUUUGGCAGGACUAUAUUUCACAUUAACUAUUGGAAAUUCAGCAUCUGAAAAAAAGAAUUUAGCGGCGGGGUGCGGUGGCUCACGCCUGUAAUCCCAGCGCUUUGGGAGGCCGAGGCAGGCAGAUCAUGAGGUCAGGAGAUCAAGACUAUCCUGGCGAACACGGUGAA